AGAUGAAGCCACUUGCAGCAGCAGAGCCGGUGGGGCAGAUGACGCCUGUCCUGGAGGAGCUCGGCCACCCGUGUGCCUUAGAGCUGCUGAGGAGGUGAGCCAUCCAUACACAAUGACAAGCCUACCUCAGUGUCCCCUGGCCAGCCCCACAGCUGCUGGAAACCUGGGUAACUGUUGAUCUAACCCACUUUUCCCUCACUGGGGGGCUGGCCCUGCCCUUCACUGUCCCUGAGCUGCCUGGUGCUCCCCAUGAGUGCCUUGCAAACACGCCUUGGCAGGAAAUGAGAGGCCCCAGUGUGGUGUAGCUCCCACCCUGCUCCCUGCAGGCAGGACAGUAUUUGUAUGAAGAGCCCACACUUCUCAUCCACGUGGACAAAACUGAAUUUUGCCACACCACAGCUGAAGGGACUCGCCUGGGGAGCAGUAGAGGGGUUGGUGGAGAGCUGGGGUGGCACAGCGGCGUAGGGAGAGCCAGGAAUGUGGGAUCUGGGGAGGGAGGUAGUGCAAGAGCCAGCAGUGGGGUCCCCCAGAUGGAGUUAGCCACCCAGGGAAGGAGAAAGAAGAUGAUUGCUGAUCAUCCUUGCUACUCCUGCAGCUGCCCCAUGCAAACAGUGGCCUCAAACAGCCUUUCCCUCUCCCCACCCUCAAAACGCAACCACUGCCCCAUCCCUCCCUCUCCCUGAGAGGAGAGCUGUCAGUUGUGGUCUCUGAGGGAAAGGCACUGCCCCAGCCAGCCUGGGAUAAAGCUACAGAGUGGAGAAUCAAAGCCCAGAUCCAGGCAGAUACUUUGUGGUAACCUAAGAUCCAAUGGAAAUCUGGGGAGAUUUUUCAAAGGAGCCAGAGAAUACUCCCAGUAGGUGCUGUUGCUCCAUCCUGACCUGCUGACCCACGGGGGAGGUUGCUGCUGUGUUCACACACACACAGGUGGGCCAAACCAGCCGAAACAGGGUGGAAAUAGCCAAGCCACUGGUUCCCAGCGCUGGCUGCAAAGUCCUCACACACAGCAGGUGGGACGGGACGUGCCAAGAGCCCCAAGCCUGCGAGCACGGAGCAGCUCCACGGAGAGCUGAAGGACCACAAGACCAGGAGCUGACUCAGAGCACGGCAAGGAGGCAUCUCCCCAGAGUGGGAUGAGAUGGGAGCAGUAGGUACGUAAGAUGUUUUUGUUUUUUCCUGAUGUUAUCCCCAUUUUCCCAGGUCCCAGCUUCAGACAGCCGUCUGCCACCCGCUUUGGCCAGACACUGAGACGCUGCGAGUUGGCUGGUGUUGCUGUCAUGAGCAAAGGUGCAGUUCCAUGGAUUGUCUGGGCCGUGCCAGCCUGUUCCCGCAGUGAUUUUGCAUGGUGGGAAGUAGGUUGGGACUGGGCAAAGGGUGCUCCGGCUCUGGCCCACUGCCAGAGGAGGAUUUGUCCAUUAUAGUCUCACUUGCUCUUGGGGUGUGGCCUGAAAGGGAGCGUUGGAGCCAAUAUUUAUUGGGGUUUUUCCACACUUUGUUAUGAAACCCUUGGUUUUUCCAUGCCUUGAAUUUGGGAGUAGAUACCUUAGUAAAGAGUAUUACAAGUGCCUGGCUCCAGGGGGAUGCCUCCCACCUGUUGGUCUGUAAAUGCUGUAGAAAGAAUGGUGUAUGUAACUGUAUUUGAGCAAUGGUGCAGUUUACCUGAGGUCAGGCAGCAGUCUGAAGGAAGGGCUUGGAGCAGGAGUCAGACUGCCAAGUCCCUGAGCAGUGUGCCAGGCUGGAGCAGGGCUCCUCCAUCCCUUCUGUCCUUUCCUGGUUUUGUUCUCCCUUGCAUUCCUAGGGAAAAAUGAAAGAGAGGAAAAUUAAAUACAAAUUAUAAGCUCCAGCACCUUUGCUAGGGAAAUCUGCAACCAAGUGCAAGUGGAUGAGUUGGAUUCAGUAUUGGCCACUGAUUCUUAAAGAACUACUUUCUGCCCGAGGGAGCUGGUUCAGAAACCAGCCCAGGAGCUGAUACCCACAGCUCUGAGUGAGAACAAGGGCCACCCUUCCUAAUCCGAGACUUAAUCAGUUGAAUUUCAGUUAUCAAGAAGCCCUAAGGGAAGCCUGGCCUAUUUUUAUGCCCUGGAGCCCCCCUGGAAGCGCCAGCCCCAGCAAUGUGGUGCAGCAGUGCUCCAGCACAGCUGAGCCUCACACGGUGCCGGGGCAGCAUUGCCCCCAUAUCGGAACUGUCGGGAGCUAAAGGCAGCAGAAGGAGCUUUCCUUUCACACCUUCAGUUUCCAUGUCGACAUGCCAGAAUGACAUGAGGCAGCAGAUGGAUGCAGACCAGGAAGAAUAUUUGGACAUAUUAGGCAAUGGGGAUCGGGUCCCUUUAGCUCACACAUCUCCAGCUGAGAGAUCACGAGGCAGCGGCCGCAGCUGCAAAGGACCAAACCGAGAGCUUCUCGUGAGAAGUAAAAUGGGCUUUACCCAGGUUUAUUGAACAUUUUUUUAAGCCACCACCUCCUGUCCCAGUCUGCAAAACCUAAACCCUGCCCUUAUAAAUUGCUAACAGAAUUACCUAAUUCCAGUUGAGUUCACAACCUUUCUGCUCCCUCCCUGAGCUGAUACCCUUUCCUUCUGGGGAGAGGUUGAACAACAGACAUUCAAAUAAAAUCCUGUGUCACCAAACACACUUCUUAGUCAUCUGUGCUUCCCAAAUGCUCUGGUGUCUCCAGUCCCCUCUACUCUGUCUGUGGAACUGUUACUUUGCAUAAUAGAAGGCAUCAAUUCUCCAGCCAUCUGGAAGGCACACCAUAUAUCAUUUAGGUGCUUCACUUGCUCUCCCAUCAGUAAAACAGGAAUGUGGCUUCCUUCUCAUUUCCCUUGAUGUCUUAGCUCUGUGCUAGAGAGGUCAGGUUAGAAGCAGCCAUGGGGGAGUGACCCGUACCCUGAACUGGGUUUCACAGUUUUGAAGGAAGUCUCUGCUUCACAACCAGGUCAUUUCCUAAUUCAGUGUGAGCAAAGGGAUAAAGAACUCAGUAAAUCCCAGUUGAGAGAGAACACUGGGUGUAGUCAUAUAUGCAAAUGCCCCAUUCACCUCCCAAGGAAACCUGGAUCCCCUUCAGCAAAGCCUGGAGACAGGGAUCACAUCGGCUGGGCAUUGUGCUCUGGAGAAUCACUGCCAAGGGUCAGUGUCUGCAGCCAGCUAAGCAGCCCCACACGUGCAUCCGAUGGGAUGAUCCUGAGGGAGGUGGCUGAGCCCACUCACAUCCAGCAUGGAGAGAGCUGCUGGGGGAGGGCACAGGAGUUCCAUCAUCCCUGAGUGACCCCUCAUCUUAAGGACCAAGCCACCUUUCCAUCCCCAUUGCUGCUUCUCUUAGAAACCAGGGAAACUACCAAUUUGCUGCUAUUCCUUUAUGUCCAGAGGAGUAUCUUGUGUCCAUCCAGACCUGUACUCCUGUUUAUCUGCUCUUGGUGAGCAUAGACAGAUGGUUAAGGCCUGGAUGCUGAAGUUUAUGACUUAAAUCAAUGGGAUUAUUCAUUAGUGGAGAGAUAACCAUGUGCUUUUAUGCUUGGCUGGAGUGGCGUCUCAAGCUCCCAGCUGGGAAUCAAAGCUCUGAGUCACCAGGUCCCUCCUCUCCUUCCUGUGUGACCAGUCUCCCUGUGUCUGCUUCCUUGCCUGCUGCAUAAGGAGGAUGACAAUCGCUUUUAUCUGAUGGUUACUUUCAAAUGGCCCUAAAGGCCUCUUCUGGUCUGAUGAAAAUUCAGUAGAAGCUGGACUAGCAUGGAAAGGCAGGAGGACAUUUAACUAAUGAAAGCACUGGAACUCGGGAAGGCAAUUACAUCCUUUCUUCCACCCCACAUUCUCACACAGGCUACUUGGCCGUGGCUGCACAAUCUUCCAGGCCAGAGAGGAGUGGGAGGCCAUGAAAAGGCUGAGACAAGGGGGAAGGUGGUGGUUGGGGUGACCAGCACAGCAGGUUCCCAGCAGCAGUCGUACCUUAAAAGAGCCCCCUUUCAGUUAAAAACUGAGACCUUGAUUCUGCAAGUCUCUGCUUCACAUAUGGACCUUGUAAAACAAAAACUAGAGAGAAAGAAAGAUACAUGGGCCAACAGCAUAUAUUUUAUGCCCCAAUAUACACUAAGUCCCCAGAGAAGUGAGGCUUCCCAUAUUUGGCAUGUACCCCUCUGAAUAAAAGAUGAUCUUAAAUAGAGACUCCCAUCAAUUCUUCUGCUGGUGACCGGUGCCUUUGCCUGGUCAAAUUGUCCUUUUGCCACCAUUCCAGGGAGGAGAAGUUGCUCUUUCAGCCCUGCUUCAAUGCACCCCUGUUUUUGGGGGAAGCUGGCCUUGGCAUGCCUGUAAGAUGGGCUAUUCUGCACCUCCCUGUUGGUUAGCAAGUCAAAUAGGGUAGUGUGAGAAACCCUGUGCAGCUACAGCUGCUGUGUCCAUGAGAAUGUGCAGGCUGAAACCCUGCAGAGGAGCUGUGGGCGUCCUCCCAGCUGCCCCGUGCUUUUGCAGGCACUUGUAAAUACAACUGCUCUCACUUUCCAUUGAUAGACAUCAAAAAGCAAUUAAGAAUCAAGCUCUUCAAAUUGAUAGGUCUCCUGAAUUUGAAACAUUUUUCAUUCUUUGGCCGGUAUCACUGCCUAGAUUAGAUUAUUUUUUUAAAGGGAAGAUUAAAAUAAACAGUAUUUAUGGUUUAAUUAUUUGAAUGACUAAGAAGCUCCAGCUUUAUUUUAACUUCACAGAGGACUGGGAGAUGUUUUUAAUGAUAUGUUUUACUCACACAGGAUCUUUCAUCCAAGGAUCUCAAACUGCUUUUCAAAUAAUUAAUUAAUCCUUGUACCUCUCCAUGAGACAGUUAUUAUCUCUGAUAUUCCUGAUGGGUAAACAAAGGCACAAAGACGUCAAGGCACAAAGUGCUUUCCAAAUAUUAAUUAACUAAUUCUCACACCACUCCAUGAGACUGUUACUAUCUCUGCCAUUACCAAGGGUAAAUUGAGGCACAAAUAUGCAAGUAAAUCCCCUGAGGCCAUGCAGGUGAGUCAGGAGCAGAGCUGAGAAUAGUGUAUGACCAGUCCCUUGGCUAAUUGUUUCCAGCAAGUCCUCCACCAUAUACCUGACAAUGGGCAGCUCAUUCCCCUAAGUGAAGCACAGCUGAAACCCUUUGUCAUCAUCCACUGGGAAUCAUGUUUGCCCACUUCAGUCUGCAGCUUCUUUUGAACUUGCCCUGCCUGAAGGAAGCCAGUGGAGCUGUGAUGAGAAAGAGUUGCUUUGAAGGCUCUGGGGAGCUUUGAGAUGCUCUGGUGCUGGGGGCUGUCCAGCAGCACACAGUUUCUUAGAGUUCAUCCCUGUACCCAUAUUUUUAAUGGUCCAUGCAAGAGAAUGUAGGGAGAGGUGGGGACCCUGCAGGCCAGGGCCCCUCAGCAGCCAAACCCACCUUGCCCCUUGCACAGGGCAGCUCAGGCCCAGCGUGUAUUUAUUUUCUGUCCUCCCCAGGAGGAAGAGGGAAAGGCAGGAAGCUGAAGGCUCUCUCUGCCCUCAGGAAGGGUCCAGCUGGAGGGAUUCUCUGCACAGGCACCUGAACCCUCACCAGGAGCACAUCCCAGCUGAGCUAUUUCAAACAUGGGCUUGGCCUCAUCAGAUGCAGUCUCAUUUCCACAUGAAAGGGCUGGAGGAAUAUGGAGCCAGCUCAUCUGUAUUGAUAAGAAUUUGGCAUUACUUUCCCCCAGUUAUCUCAGUUUUCUGUGUACAUUAAUCACAAUACAAAAAACAGGAGUGAGGAGGGAGGGAUGGAUCUUCUCAGCUGUCUUUCUGGGAGUGGGUUUUUUAUGAGGUUGGAUUUUUUUUCCUAAACAUCCUUUUUUCCAGUUUUACUCUGCUGGAGUCUGAUUGCUCCCUCCCCUCUGCAAUUUGGAUGCCUCACUCUGCUUGCUGCAGCUCUGAUGCAAGCGCUCCGCUGCCGUGUUUGCCAAACCUGAGCUCGUCUAGACACAGUCUAACUGUAGCACUAAUGUUAGGGUUCAACAGACUGAUCUCAGCUUUGUCAUAGCUCUGCCCACGGUCAGCACUUUGAUCUUUAUCCUUGAAAACCACAGCCAUUGACAAAGGUAAAAUGAAUUUCUGACUUUGAAAGACUUUGAUGGCAUUCCCUUGUUUUGGUUUGUGUUUUGUUUUUUUCUCCUCUCCUUUGCUCUUCCAGCUGAACUUCAUCACACAACUUCUGAUUACAGCUGCAGCUCCAGGACCAGAGAGAGGUCGUGCUGUCUUGCUUUCUGCUGUUUUAAAAUCCAAAGGGGGAACCCUGGGACACUUCUGGGGCAGACCGUGAGCGUAAUGCAAACUGUCAUGGGAAUCAGAGGUAGAGAGAGGGCCCUCAGGAUUUGGUCUUGUACCUUCUUAAAUAAAAAACACCAAACCAAACCAAAAUCAUCAUGAAUGGGGCCAAGUGCCAAUAGUAGGAGAGAAUGAGAACUAUUUGGUGUUAGAUUUCUAGCUGGAAAUCUGCAGCCUGCCAAGUCCUACUGUUUGCCUUCGUGUAGUACGAGAGGUUGAGCUGAGACAAGGGCCUUCCAGUAGACAUUGCACCGACAGGUUGUGAGGGAUUGCCCUGCCUGGAGGAGUUCACCUUUUAAAGAAACAUGAGGAGCAAAUCGAGUGCUACCACUCCAUCUUCCAGAUGGGAAGUGAAGGCAAGGAGCACCUUGUCCAGGUCACACAGGGCACCUGAAUUCAUUUUAGGGCUCCAGGUUGCCUUCAUCUGUAAAAGUCUUCCAAGGACUGGGAGUGAAAUCCAGGAUCUCUGAAGGCAAUGGGAUUUUUGUCCCAGAUUGCCAGGGGGAAAAAGCUUUUUCCCUAAACACCUGCCUGGAGGUGUCCAGAGGCCUUUAGCAAUGGCAGUGACUCUGGAAGCACCAACAGUAGUGGCCAACCCCGAAUGUCCCAGAGUGGCUUUUGGGGUGUCCAGCUCCUGGCUACGAGAGGCCACUGGUCAAAAUGGGCCUUGUUAAACAGCCAAGCAAAAAACAAAUCUGCUCUCAAGGUGGCUCAAAGCUGGAGCUGGCUGAACAUUUUCCUGUUGUAUAUAAAUAUCACAUACGCACACAUGCAUAGUUGGCGAGGAAAACUUUAUAUAUAGGUAGUGUGUCUGUUUUAGAUAGAAAGAUGGAUACAUUUCAUGUGUAUUAACUCACAUAGCUAUAUAUUCCUAACAUCCAAAACAUUGUCUUUUCCUGGUUUUUCCAAACACUUCACCAGCUGAUUCACAGAUGCCAAAUGUUGACACAAUAUGUUAAAUAGAAAUGUUGACAGUUUCCCAUGGAGAGUUUUCUGCAGUCCUGGAGAAACUCUACUCAACAUUUCUUUUGAGAUUUGAAGGAAUUUGAUUAACAUUUUGCUGUUGCCCAUUCCUGACUACUCUGAGUUGAGCUGGGACCGGAGGAGCACUUGAUGAGUAAGGCUCUUCUGUUAUUUACAGCCUCAUUGAAACGAUGAAGUAGCAGGAAUCUCCUUGGAGAGCAAUGGAUCACAGCACUUGUCAAGAUGAUUUCCAAAUCAAAGAUGAAUUCCAAGGAGCAGCAAGGGUAUAAUUUUAGAGCCCAUCAAGCCAAUGGCAAAAAUCCCAAUUUUUGCACAAUAUUCUUAAUGGAGUCUCUGAAAUUUUGGAGCUUCAUAUAUUAUAUAUUAUAUAUUAUAUCCUAUAUUAUAUAUUAUAUUGUGGCUAAGAAGUCCUGUCCAAAUUCAGCAUCUGUGUGCCUUACAGAGGAAUGACCCUAAAAAGGAGUGAUGAAAAAGGUCAGUCUAGUUUAAAAACAAAUACUGUGUUUAUAACGAGACCGAAGGGACAGUGAAGAAUUCAGUACUCGAUACUGACACCUGCCACUUGCAAAAUAUCUCCACCACUAGGAACAAAUAUUUUGUGAGAGUUUGGAAAAUUUUGGUCACUCAUUUUUUUCCUCCUUUGUUUCCAUUUCAGUCACUGUGCAAUAACAGCACUGACGUUGCUAAAUGUCACAAAGUGAAGCUGAUGAAGUUGCUUCAUGUGCUUGUUCCAGUGUCCCUUUGGAGUUGGAGUUCCUGUGUGCACAGGCAUCAUCCAGGUUCAUCAGACAGCCAAAUCUUCAGCAUGGCAAAGUUGUUCCCAGUCAUCUCUCUGUUUAUUUUCAAUUUCCCAUCCUAUCAGCUCAAACUAAGGUGGGAGGAGGUAAAGCAACUAGAAGGGGCAGUUUUUAAGGCUGCAACUGAGUAGAAGAGCCGGGUUUUACAGAGCAGGGUUUUACAGCGCACGCCGGCCUGUUCAGUCAGCGCAGGGACGCAGGACGGGGAGGCAGGCACAGACAGAAACCCAAAGAGCAAAGUAUUUUGCAAAAGCUGUGGGGUUGGAAGGUCUUUGAACUCCUUAACACCAGGAGGAGAUAAAAAGCUCACAGGACAGGUUGUUCUCUGGAGGCUCUCGGCCCAAUCUGCAGGAGCUGAGGCAGGUCGAGUGCAUUCAGGGGGUGGACUGAGGGAGGAAACAUUCAGGUACUUUUCAACUAUGCAACCAAACCAUUUGUCACUUGUCUAGACACAUGUUUCAGAAGGGAAUAAAAUAAAAGAAAGAAAAAUACCGCGUCUGGAAAUUCUUCCCUGGUGACUGUUGUGCAGCCGAAGAACUGGGUAAUUCCCUUCAACUGAAUAAACAUCGGAGGGAGUCUGAGAGCAAUUUGGCUCCAGAGCAAAUAUUGUUACCAAAUUCUUUGCACCUGCAGUGGUCAGGGAAAUGAUAAUACACCCUCUCCAUGUCUUCCUACCCCGCUUCCACUUUGGGAAGGAGCCCUGUAGUAUCUCAGCUCUGCUACAGCACAAACGUUUGUGUGGGCAGAGCUUCAGGUGAGACCCCGCUGGUACAGCCACGGCCUCGUCCCACCAAACCCACUCUGCUCCCCAAGGAAAGGGAGGGGUUGGUGUCAGACUCACAGGGAGGAGCUGCCUGUCACUGGUGGCCUCCUUGGACGGGGAUUCCAGGACAAAGCAAAUGGAAAGAAGCCAUGAGAUGUGGAUAAUGGUCUCUGUUCCCAGCUCAGGCACAGGAACACAGCAGUAGCUGACACCCCUGUGAGCCCAUCGGUGCCGGGGCUGCUCAGCUAACAGACUCUCAAGACAGAUAAAAAAAUAGGGGGGAAAUUGUAAUAUUUGUAAUAUUUUAAAAUGUUUCUGCUGUAAAAGUAUUUUUUCACAGGAAGUAUCUUGGGCAGAAAUGUAAUUGCCUUAUGAAGAGUUCUUGCAUCACACUUGGAAUGUAAUUCUGUCCUGAAUCACAAGUUGCUGGGCUUAUGCUACUACCUGAAGAUAUUUGACUGUAUUUCCCUUAAUUUUUAGUAAACUUGGUAAAUUUAGU